rnacentral:lncRNA from 1 species
UUUUUUUUUUUUUUUUUUGUUCUGGUCCCAAUUUUAAUUACCAUUUUUCUAUAGUGAGAUUUUCAUUAUUUCCAAUUUGUUAUUACAUGACAAUUUUGGUAGCUAGGAUGAGUUAAUAAGCAUUUAUCAUAUGAUAAAUUAGUGAAACAAAUUAGGACAGAAAACCAUUGGCACUUUUGAUCUGAAUUUUGGUUUAGUGGUAAAAGUAUAACACGUGAUUUAUAUACGCGAUAAAAACAUAUUAUAAAUUUGAAUUUUGUCGCUGACAAAAAUUUAAUAGAUAUAAUUAGAGUAAAGUUGGAAAUAAAAGUUUAUUUAUCCAUUCAAUUUUGAAUCGUGUAAGACAAUCUUAAAAGAUUUUCCGAUAUAAAAAGAAAUAUUUUACUUCUGGAAAGGUGUUAUCUUAACCUUCACAAAUAUAUGUGUUGGAUAAAUUGGGAUUUAUAUGUUAAAAGUAGUAUUCUUCGUCUCAAUUUACGUGAUAUUUUUGGAUUUUGAGAUUUAAAUAAGUUUUUCUUUGAUUAUAAAUUUUUCAGAUAUCUUUUAAUUAUUUUAAAUUGCUUAUUAUUAUUACUUACAAUAUUUUUUACAUAGUUUACAAAUAUAUAAAUUUCAUUUUAAAAAAUUGAAAAUUUCACGCAUAAAUUUUCGAUCAAAUUUUAUUUUAUAAAAAUGAAAAAUAUCACCUAAAUUGAAAUGAGAGAGUCAUGUGAGUUUUACCUUAAAAAAGAAGAAAGAACAUGUUUUUAGAGACUUAGAAGAAUUGUUGUUUAACACAUGAUUAAGUUAAAGAUAUUGAGCAUCAAUUGUGACUCAUUUGAAAAAUAGAUUGUGAUAUAUUUGAUUGAAAUAAAAAUCACCCAACAUAUUAAGAAAAUCGCUAUUUUUUCUUUCAAUUGUUGUUUCGAAAAAAGAAGUUUAAUUCGUUUUGAUAAUUUCAUACAUCAUUUUCAAUAUAAAUUGUAAUUAAUUUGACUUUAUUAUACUCUUCAUUUAUUCAACGUUCUUUAAAUUUUAAUAUGAAUAUCAGAUAUCUAAUGGAAAAAAAAUAUCACAUGUCUACAUUAUUGUUAAGGUAACAUAACAAAACUAAGAGAUGAUAUUAUUUAUAUAUUUUUUUCAUAAAAAUUAGUUAAGUUAGGCUUAUAAUGUCACAUGUCCAUCAAUGAUAGAUGUACUUGGCCUUACCAUGUAUUAAAAAUAAUAAUCAAAGAUUGUUAAAUUAAUGCAAGUCCUAUCAAAAUAAUUCCUACAUUAAAUGCAUUGAGAUAUUCCAUCUUAAUAAAUGUAUAUUAUAUAUAUAUCUUGACAACUUUGUAUUUCUGUUUUUUUUUCCUUUUUAUUUUAUUCUUCAUUGUCGGUUAAAAUAGUUACUAUAUAUACAUAUUUUUUUAUAAUAAAUAUAAAAGAAAUAUUAAUUUAAUUUUUAACUUUUUUAAAAAAAGAUUAUAGGUGUUAGGAUCAAGCGUUUACAAAUCAUAACAAAAGUUAUACCUAAUAAAAAAGACGUAAUUUUAUUUCUUAAUUAAUUCCAUCAAGCAAGCGUCAUGUUUGAGAAUCAUGACUCUGAUCUGGACCACCCAAUCCCUCGUGGACCUUGUCAUCGGCAGGAUGUUGACAUGACUCAACAACUACCUCAAGCAGAAUGUUAUUUUUGGAAAUCAAACUCACGACAUUGACUCUAAUACCACUUGUUAGGAUCAAACGUUAACCAUCAUGCAAAAAAUAACAGCUAAAUAAAAAACACACAACUUUAUUUCUUAACUAAAUUCACAAAGCAACCAUUAUCAUCUUCGAUCAUGAUUCCGAUCCGAACCAUCCAGUCUCUCGUAAACUUUGUUAUACGCAGAAUAUUAACAUUACUCAACAAUAUAUUAAUUUUACGUGUGUUAUAUGCAUAGCUUUUAUCAUUUGUUACAUGAAUAGAAAUGCAUGCAUGCUGCAAAAAGAAUAGAUCGAUAAUAAAACGAAAUUUUUUCUAUAACUUUACUUUUUUCCCCUAUAUUUGAUAAAUAUCAAUCGUCUUCAUAAAUAUUCUUUUACAUAUAUAUUAUGACUAUUAAAGAUAAAACUUUCAUUUGAUGAAAUUACAAUUGGCCUUAGGUAGUAAAACUCUCAGUUAUUACACGCGAUUGUAUAUUAUUAAUACUAUUCAAAUCGAGUUCAAAUUUAAUAGGUAAAUAUAUAAAGACCCAAAAAUCUAAACUGAAAGUCGCAAAUAAUAUAAAAACUAUUUAUACUGACAAAUGCAUGAUAUUUUCAUCUUUUUAAAUAAUUUUUUGGAAAAUAUUCAAAUCAAACAUGUGGUGUAGCCUUAGUUUUGAUUAAAAUUUAAAACACACGUCCAAUUGACAAAGAUAACAUUUUUUUUUUCUUUCUGCAAAAUGGGAUUAUAUUGUGGUUAAAAAAAUAAUUUUAUAAAAAAAUUGGAAACAUAUUGGGGAACAUUGUGCAAUAAAAUUUCUUUUGGUUUGCACAAUCAUAUUUUAAUUAAGAUAUCUUGUCCAAGAUAUGUUUUGAAAGAGUUAAAAUAUAUAUAUUAGAAAAAAAAAACUCUAGGGUGGUGUGGAAUUAUCUCUUUGCUUCUAUUUAGUUAUUAUUAUUAUGUCUGAGUUGUGUUGUAGUGUGUGAAUGAAGUUGAAAAAUACGAAAAAAAUUUUUUAAAAGAUAUUAGUUAUUUUUAAUGAUGUGAAAUCUUUUAGAAAAAUUGCGUUAGUUGGUUCAAAGCAGAUAAUAUUAUUACAAUAUUAUCUCUACUCGUAGCUUUGAACAUGCAUAGACAGAAAAAAAUCAGUAGUCUUACAAUUAUAAAUGGUCAGUUGAUAUAGGUGAUAUAGAUUUAAUUUAAUUUCAAGUUGACAGAUGAAUGAUAAUGGAUCAUGUGAAACUUGAUUCAGCAAAGAGAUCGUUCGAUAUCUCUUAACGAGGUCUCAUAUGAAAAGGUAGAAAGAAAAAAGAAACUACUAUAAAAUAUUGAACAAUCUUAACUAAUAGUUUAGAAAAAAUUAUACGAAUAUGAUUCAAAAUGAAGCAUAUACACGUUAUUUAAGAGUGUGUACAAAUUAGCUAGGUGGGAUGACCAGGUUGCGAUAACCUUAACUCAAUAGCCUUUCUUUAGAGUAAAAUUUGUCAAAAAUAAUCUUUCUGCUUUUAUAAAAAUAAAAAUAAUAUCUACGUACAAUCCUUCUAACCAAACUUAUAAAGUAACCAUACUUAAAACAUUUCAUAUUGCAAUCAAAUCUCAUAUAAACAAGAAGUGACACUUGCCAAAAUAAAUAGAACAUAAUUUCUACUAAUUAAGUUAAAAGGUACCUUUAACUAACAAUAUUUGAUCCCACACAAACAUUGAUAAUGUUUUUAAAAACAACUUCCACAUUGUUUGUCUAAAUGUUUAAAAAAAGGAAAAAUCUUUUUGGCCAGAAAAUUCAGUUAGAAUUUGAUGAGAAUAAUAUCUUUUCUAUUUUAUUUCACCUUUUAAAAUAUUUAUAUUUUUAACUUUAAUACCUUAACUAGAAAUAAAAAAAAAGAUCAAUUUAUUUUUAAAUUAAAAAAUUAUAGUUUUUUGAAUUUUUUAAUCAAAUUUUUUGAUGCACUUUUCAAAACUUAAUUACCAAUCACUACCUAAUAACUUUGUGAACUAAUCAAUCAUGUUUGCUUUGUAUUCAAAUAUCACAACAAAGUAAUUUUCACACAAAUUAAAAUAUGACUUUUUUUCAUCACAAACAAACAAACUAUUUAUAUAUAUAGUAAGACAUACAUCACAUUCACAAAAAGCUAAUUUCACCACAACCAAACAAGUAUAUCUACACUUUAUUUUAUUUUUCAAAAUAAAGUUCUCAAUAUUACUAGAAAAACAAAAGAUUUUACCACCCCAAAUUAAUGAAACAAUUUAUAUUAUAAAACAUAAUUCUCUCAUCUUAUUUUCAGUGGAUCAACUCAUCACUAGAAAAACACAUAGUAAAAAAUAAAAUUUUAUUAAAAUAUCAAAAAGUUUUCGAAUUUUUUCAUUUGAAAAGACUACUAUUUUUUUAUCGCGUAUUUAGUUAAAGUAUUUGUAAAAAUAACCGCUAUUUUUCAAUGAAAAUUUUGAUUUAAAAAAUAUUCAUCUUUCAAUAAAAUAGAGUGUCAUCUAGCACUCCGCCCCGACCCAUUCCAUGCUUUCGAGCAAUUUUUCUCAUAAAAGUUAGAUCUUUUUUCUUUUCGUCUUCAAUUAAAAGAACAAUAAUAGAAUGAAAAUUUAAGCGUAAUCAAAUUGUUUGUAACACAUGUAACGAUGUAACAUCACCCUCUAUCUUCCAACAAUAUCAUUUUUUUUCUAAUUCAAUCAAAAUCGAAAAUCGUUAAAAUAGAAACCAAUAUAUAUUUGAAUAAAACAAAAUGAUAAAUCAAUUAUCCAAAUAUAGUUAUAGCAAGAUACAAUAGAUUAUACUAAUAUUAUUACUUUUAUAUAUAUAUAUAUACCAUCCAAAGCAACAAGCAAUACUUUGUUAGACAUGAAUGUCUCUAUUGUCUGUCUCAUGAAGACACAAUAUCUGUGAGUAAAAAGAUUUUAUAUUAUUAUUUUUUUGUAUAUAAAAUGCAUUUUUCUUAGGAUAAUAAUAUAUAUUUAGGGGUAGAAAAACUAGGCUCUAGCAUUAACAUUAUUAUUAGUGUUGGAAUAUUAUAUUCUUACGUUAUAUAUGUCAAUACUAAAAUUGGAACACGUAAUUGUAUUUGGUUAAAUAUAUUCAAAUUAGUCAAACUAAUUAAUCUUUUUUUAAUUGUUUAGGAGGUAAUACAUAUUGUUACAAUUGUCAUAUAUCUAUGCACUAAAAUUGAUCAAUAGGUCAUGAAUAAUAUGUCAAAAGUUUUUUUGCACAUGAAGUAGGUAGCUGAGAUUUAUAUUAACGGACAUACACGUGUCAUAAUUUUAUUCAUUGAUUUGAUAUUUAUUAAAUAUUGAAUCGACGGAUAAGAUUGUGUCAAUUGUCCCUAUUUGGUCUAAUGUAAUAGACAUAUAUGCUCUGUGUUUUUAGUGAUAGAGACAAUAAUAUCUCAAAAGUAUGACAAAAGAUAUUCUCAUAUUAUUUAUAAUUAUUCGAAUAUAUUUAUCGUUUUUCCAUCAAAAUUUAAAAAAAUUUAUACAAAAGAAUCAAAUAGAGAUAUUUUAAUUUUAUAAAAAAAAAAAUCUCCUAUCAAGUAUCAUACGGAUCAUAAUUAAGAUUUAUAAAUGAUUGAAAAGAUCAAAGUACUGUUAUGCCUUUUUAUAUUAAUUCUUGUCUAUUUAGGAUCGAGUGCUUGAAAUUAAAACUAAAAAGGGAAAAGAAAGGCCUAGAAAGCAACUUGACUACAAUUACUUGAAAGUGGAAAAAUUGACAGCAAACAGACCUAUAUAUAUAUAUAUAUGGCUGUUCAAAAUCGAAUCGAAACCGAUAAGGCGAACCGAUAAAAAAGUUAUUGGUUUAUAGUAUUAGUUUAGUAGUUUUGAUAACGGUUUUGAUUUUUUUUUGAUAUCCGAUUAUCGGUUCUUAACGGUUUAAAGUUUUUUCUUAACGAAUUAACUGAUUACCCGAUAGUAAAUUAAAUAUUUAUAUUUAUAACAUUUUGUAUAUAAAGUCCUCGAUUUAGAGUUUAAUUUCCUACUUUUAUUUUUUGUUGUUUCAAACACUUGAUUAUUCUACGAUGUAAAAGCGUUUGCUCUUGAGCAAAGAUGUAACUUGUGAACUCAAGUACAUGGUUUAUUUGGUUUGUCACCUUGUUUCUAAGUGAUUUUCAAUAUUUUUUUCUUUUGGGUCAAAUCUUAACGGUUAAACCGAUAACGAUCAAAAAUCGAUAAGCCAAUAUCUUAAUGGUUUUAUAAUGGUUUAGCAUCACUACAAAUCAAUAACCAAUAACCAACCCGAUAAACAUCAAAAUCAAACCGAAUUUGUCGAUACACAACCCUAUAUAUAUAUAUAUAUAUAUAUAUAUAUAUAUAUAUAUAUAUAUAUAUAUAUAUAUAUAUAAAAUACUAUUUCUUGGUCCAUGUAUUUGCAUCUUAUUAUUUUGUUGUCAGAUUUUUUUUUAAAAUUGAGGUUUUAUCGAAAACAAUAUUUUAAGCUACAAAGGUGAAGCUAAGGUUUAGUUUAUUUCUCCAAAAAUAUGAUUAACUACACAUUUCCAUCUCAAAAUUAGUAUAUAUAUUUAUAUAAUAACAAAUAUGUAAAGAAAAAUUCAAUAAUAAAUAAGUCAUAUAUACUUAUUAUUGGAUGGAGUUCUUGAUUAUUAUUAUUUUUAUUAGUGAAUUUAAUUGCGCUAUGCGCGAUUUUAAAUUUUUUAUAUAAAUUGUGUUUAUAUAUUUCUAAUAAAAUUUACGCACAAAUUAUACUUCCAUUUCAAUUAUUUCUUUAAAAGAUUUUUAAUUUAUAUAUUAUUUAUUAUUUAUAAUCACUUAAAAGUUCUAAAUCUUCUAUAGGUACUCGUGUAAUAAACUUAUAAGUGAAAGAAAAAAAUAAUUAUUUUUCUUUAUAGAAAGUAGAGAAAGAAAAGAAUUUCAAGAAAUUUUGUAUAUAUUUUGAGCUUAUAUAUAAAAUCGUUUUUAAACUUUUUUUUUUUAAAAAAAAUGAAGAAUCACAAAUACAUUUACAAAUAUACUUAUCAAAAAAAGAAGAAAAAAAUAAGAACCACAAAGUAUAUUGUCUAUAUCGAUUUUUUGAACGUUGAGACUAAAUGAAUCAUAAGAAAUUUAGAGAAAAACAUCAUUAUACUAUUUUUUAAAAUAAACCAACAAAUAUUAUAAAUUAUCUUACAAAAUUUUUAAAAGUAUUGAAUUUGACAAUCUCUAAAAGUAAUGAAUUAAUAAAGAAAUGAUAAAAUAGUUCUCAAUCAAAACAAUACAUACCUUAAUUUGGCCGUAAGAAUGAAUUCAUUAAGUUUUAUCAAAAUAGAAUAUUUAAUAGCACAUGAAUUUCUCAAAAUAAAGUAUGAAAGAUGCAAAUUAAAAAUAAAAUAUUGUAAAUCUGCAAAGUAGAAAUUGAUAUUAUUCCUUUGACUCCUUUAAACAUAUACCUGCAAAAUAAGAAGUUCGACUCUAUAUGUUGGAACCAAUGAGUACAUGUAAAAACUGAAAAUGAAAAUUUGAAAAAAAAACACACUCAAACAAAAAUAUUUAACCAUAAUAUCCUAAAUAAUUGAAAUGAUAGCAAUUUUUGCCAUAUGUAAUAACAAACUACUUACAAAAAAUAAAAAUAAAAAAUCUUAAGCACUUCAACUACUAUAUAUAAAAUUAGGGAAACAACAUUAAACUUGUUACUCAUCAUGUGGAGGAUAAAAGCAUUUCUUUAGUCUCGAAUCUUGAUUAUCUUACGCUCCUCUAACAUGCUCCUUUGAACAUAUACCUACAAAAUAAGAAUUUCGACUCCAUAUGUUGGAACCAAUCAGUACAUAUAAAAAUUGAAAAUGGAAAUUUGAAAAAAAAAAUAUUUAACCAUAAUAUCCUAAAUCAUUAAGAUGAUAGCAAUUUUUGUCAUAUGUAACAUGCAUUUUGGAUAUUUAUAUAGUGAUCGAUGAAGUCAUGAGAAUUAAAUAUAAGGAAGAUAAAAAAUCAUUUUAUUUUGUAGAAUAGCCCUUUAGGAGGAGUUAUUAGAGGAUUAAGGAUAGUCUUUUGAGUUUCAUAAACUUAUUUUUUUUAAUGAGAAAUAAAGAAGAGUUAAUGAGGAAGGUAUAAUUAAAAAAUAUAAUUUUAAAGUGAUUUUUAACCUAUCAUAUAAAUAAAAAAUAAAUUUUUAAUUUUAAAAAAAAAAGAUAAAUAUGAAUAGUGACCAUUGAGAUUGAGAUUUGCCACAUCACCUAAUCUUUUAUUUAGCUUUAUUAUAUAUAUAAUUUUUUUUAUUUAUAAAAAAUAAUAAAAAAUAGAAGGUAUAAAUUAUAAUAACAAUAAAAACUAAAAAAUUUAUAAUAAUAUAAACUUGAAAAUAAUAUGUAGAAAACGGACAUUAGGAAAAAAAUAUUAUAUAAAUGAAUUUUUUUAUGUUUGAGGCAAUAUGGUAGCCUUUUGAAAUUCCUUGAUUUAAAGAAGGUGUAAUUAUCAUUAAAUAACUAAUUAAUAGUAAAAUAUAUAUACACAUAAAAUUAUUGUGUAAGAAAUAAUUUAAAAAGUCAUAUUUUUUUUAAAAAAAUAGAAAAUAUUUUUCUGGUCAUUGAGGCAUGCCACAUAGGCGGAAUGAAGAUCCUCAUUUAUAUAUAUAUAUAUUGAUUGUAUGGAGUUCUUGAUUUUUUAAAUUAUUUUUUUCAAAAUAGAAAGACCUAGAAAGCAACAUGACCACAAUUAGGACCUUUGAAAGAGAAUAAAUGAGAAAAUAUAGGAGGGGGGCUUUGCUAUAAAAAUAUUUGGAAAAGAUAAACAAAAUAAAAAUUGUCAACAAACAAUUCAUAUUCAGUAUAAUCUUAUAAAUAAGAUAAAAAAAAAUAUUGUAUAUGUAAUCUUAUCUCCAUUUUAUGGUAAUAUAGUUGGUUGAUUCAGUUCAAUUUUAAAAUUUAUCGGUUUGAAUAGAUGAACCGUUACAAAAAUAUUAAGGUAUUGACUUAUCAAUUUUUUAUCGUUAUCAAUUCGGUUAUAUAUUGAUUUGACCGUUAAGAUUUGACACAACAAAAAUAUUAAAAAUCACUUAGAAACAAGGUAACAAACCAAAUAAAACAUGUACGUGAGUUCACAAGUUAUAUCUUGCUACAGAACAAACACUUUUACAUUGUAGAUAUACCAAGUGUUUUGAGACGAUAAAAAAUAAAAUAGAAAACUAAACUCUAAGUCAAGAAACUUAUAUACAAAAUGACAUAAAUAUAAUUAUUUAAUUUACUAUCGGAUUAUCAAUUAACCCAUUAUAAAAAAAAACUCAAACCACUAAGAACCAAUAACAAAAAAAAAAAAAUCAAAACCACGAAAUCAAUAAGCCAAUAACUAUUUCUGAUUCGAGUUAUCGAUUUCAAUUCGAUAUUAAAUAAUCCUAAAUAAUGCAAUACUCAACUCAAAUAAAACAUAUUUAUAGCAAAUACAAUAACAAACAAGCCAUACAAUACUUAUUAUUAGAUUGAUUUUUUUAAGAAAAAAGAAAAAGAAAGGCCUAGAAAGGCAAUAAAUGAGAGAAAAUAGGAGUGUAUUUAAAAAAUAUAUUUACUAAAAAAAAAAUGAUAGCAAAGAAACUAUAUAAAAAAAAUUUCUUGCCCUAAAAAUUUUGUCUUUGUAUAUCAUCAUAAUCUGAGAUCUCUCUCUGACACCCUUCCUAAAGAUCCUCUGAUCAAAAAGUUCCAAAAAAAAAAACCCAAUUUUUAUUUUUUGUUAUCCAUUCCCUGUUUGAUCCCUCUGAUGAAGGAACAAACUCUGUCACCAUCAAUCUUUAAUGGGUUUUCACAGCUAAGCUUGUAGUUGAAAUUUGAUACAAUAAUAUUUAUGUUUAAGGUCCACCAAGAAACCAGGUUCAAGGUAUGCAAAGAACACCCACUGUCACCAUAUUCUCUGAACUCCAAAUAAAAACUAUUGUUUUCUUGUUUUUGGGGACAAAAGUUUAGCCCAUACCCUUUUGGUUUUUUUUACUUCCAUUUGCAGGUUUGUUACAUAUUAAUGGUGUCUUGGUCUUGUUAUGCUUGUGGGGUUGUGGGUUUUGAAUAUAAGCAAAAAAAAAAACUGGAUUUGAGGUUGGGGUUAGGGGUUUUGAUGAAUGUAUUGUUUGCUGGUUCUUUUGGAUAAAUUAUGUAAAAAGAUUCAAACUUUAUCAAGAUUCUUGGAUAAAUAUAUGUUUAUGUGAUAUAUAUAUAUAGAUAUAUUGAAAUUUGUAUACCAAAAAAAAAAAAGAAUGGUUAAACCUUGCUGGAAACCUUCUGUUGAGGGGGAUGGUGGUGUAGGGAGGGGUGGGGAUACUAGGGGUAGGGUUGAUGGUUUAAUGUGGUAUAAGGAUUUGGGGGUUCAUGUAAAUGGUGAAUUUUCAAUGGCAAUAAUACAAGCUAAUAAUUUAAUGGAGGAUCAGAGCCAGCUUGAAUCAGGGCCAUUGAGUUGUCUUGAAUCAGGUCCUUAUGGAACAUUUGUUGGAGUUUAUGAUGGACAUGGAGGACCGGAGACGUCCUGUUUCGUAAACAAGACUUUGUUCUCCAAUCUUAAGAGUAAGCUCAUCAUGUUCCUUUUUGAUUGCAUUUGAUUAUUAAUAUGAUUCUUGAUAUCGUGGUGAUGUCGUAGUUUUGAAAGUGUUGAUUUUUUUCAAGAUGUGAAUGUUAAUGCUGGUUAAGUUUUGAUGUAAAUACUAAAAAUGAUUCAGGUUGGUAGAUCUGAUCUUUGGAAUUUACAUAUUGUGCUAUGUGUAAUUGUUGUUGCAAGUCCAGUGUUUCAUUGAUAAUGAAUCAAGAAUGUUACAAAAGCGGUAUAUCAAUGUACAUUAAGAUCCCAAAAAUUCUGGCCAACGUUCGAUACAGAUAAGUACAUCCAUCUAGCUAUGGCCCCUGCUGUCUAAAAUGAUGCCUUCCACAAUAUUUGAUGUGUCUACAACUAAGAUAUUGCUGGAUUUUGCCUUGUGAUUCUACUUUAUAGACACAACUUUCAGGGUACUUUGUCAAACUUAUAGUGUUUAUACACGAUAUUGCUUUACUACCACCUUGAAUUACACGAAAGAUCUUACAAUCUUGUUGUCUAUUUUACAUGUUCGUUAAAACUUUUAAGAUAUAAAGAUCUGGUUUUGUCACUUCUAUGAGUUAUGUAAACACAACUUUCAUCAGAUUUAAACGUAUUUUCCUCUUUUAUUAGAAAUAUUAGAACGACUUAAGAUUUUGAUACGUGCAAUAACAAUCCAGUAGAGACACACUCGAGGAAGAUGCUAUCUAUAGAUAUCAUAUGCUUUUUGCAGUAUCGUGAUCUGAAUUCCUAACACUGUUGUGCUUUCAACCUUACUACUAUGUGUGUUAUUCACCCUGAAACUGUCUAAUUAUCCUCCAAAAAUGUUUAUAAUUAUUCCUUGGAACUUAUAUUCAUCUGUUUUAUAUUCUAGAAAGUUUAUGAGUAGUAUAAACGAUAUCUAUUUACCUUCAUCCCUUCAUAAACAGAAUUUGCAACGGAGCAUCAAGAAAUGUCUGCAGAUGUCAUAAAAAAAGCUUUCUUGAAAACGGAUGAGGAGUUCUUGUCACUUGUGAAGCAACAAUGGUUUGAGAAGCCACAACUUGCAUCUGUGGGAUCUUGUUGUUUGGCAGGCGUAAUCUGCAAUGGACUACUAUAUGUUGCCAAUGCCGGAGAUUCACGUGUGGUGUUAGGUAGAGCAGAGAAAGCUGCAAGGGGUGUGACUGCUAUUCAAUUGUCAAUGGAGCACAAUGCUAAUAAUGAGUCUGUGAGAGAUGAGCUUAGAUCAUUGCAUCCCCAGGAUUCACAGAUUGUGCUUCUCAAACACAAAGUUUGGCGCGUGAAGGGUAUCAUACAGGUGAUUUAUCUGUUUCUAUCACAUUCUUAGGCCGUCUCAUGUUGAUUUUUCAAAAAUAUGCCUCAUAUAAGUUACUGCUAUAAUAUAAAUCUAUGGUUAGGAGUUGAUAUUGCAAGUAAGCAAACCUAAAAGUUAGUUAUGUUGUCCUUUGAGAUCGACUCUUUAUUAUGUAAUAUAAGUCGCUUUGAUGCCUGAAUUUUUUUUGAGAUUUGAGGCUGUAAAGAUUAGACUAAUUGUGGUUGCAUUAUGCAUCUUGGUUUGGAAGAAAUCGCCGCUACUGCAGGUGUCAAGGAAGUGUGUGUGACAUACGAGUUGAUGUUCGUUUGUUAUCCUCUCUAUAGGUUUCGAGGUCAAUUGGUGAUGCCUAUCUUAAGAGGGCAGAGUUCAAUCAGGCACCCCUGCUGCCCAAGUUUAGAUUGCCCGAAUCCUUCUCUAAGCCGAUCCUCAGCGCGGAACCAUCAAUUUUCAUUCAUAGAUUGACUUCCAAAGAUCAGUUCCUCAUAUUUGGUUCAGAUGGUCUCUGGGAACAUCUUAGCAACCAGGAGGCUGUUGAUAUAGUCCACAGUCAACCUCGAAACGUAAGCAUUCAAUCUCUGAUAAUAUGAAUCGUCUUUUAUAUAACUAUGUACGAAGGGUCUAUCGGAAACAACCCCUCUACCUCUAAUGGUAGGGGUAAGGUCUGUGUACAUUUUACCCUCCCAAGAUCCCACUUUGUUGAGACUACACUAAGUAUGUUAACUAUCUAAAGAAUCUUGAGUCGAGGGUCUAUUGGAUACAGCCUCUCCACCUCUGACUUAGGAUAAGGUAAUUCUUCGAUGAAGUUUUAGUAAAUCUUGUGCUUUUUUCUCUCUUGUGACCAGGGUAUUGCCCAGAGAUUAAUCAAAGCUGCUCUCCGAGUAGCAGCUAAGAAAAGAGAGAUGAGGUAUUCAGACCUGAAAAAGAUCGAACGAGGUGUAAGGAGGCAUUUCCACGAUGAUAUCUCGGUUGUUGUUGUGUUUCUGGAUUGUUAUUCCAUGAAUCGAAGCUCCUCUCACGUUCCGAUACUUUCCAUUAGAGGAGGCGGUAUGCCUGCUUCUCCCAAACGAUAGAUCCCAAGACUUUAAACAGAGAAGAAAGAGAGCUCGUCUUUUGGAGGCCUCGAAUCUCUUUGCUUCUUUUCUCCAGUUUCUUUAGGGUUGUAAUCUACUUUUUAUGUGUUCUUAUAUUUCCUCGAUUAUCAAUUCAUCAUUCCUUGCUGAACAACGUAACGUGCACAACAGUCUCGUGUUACCAGGCAACGUAUAAAGAUGUACACGAGAUACUUUGUGAGAACAGCAAAAGAAAUGGAACAACCAUUAGAAGGAAGAAGAAUACCUACCUAAGUUAUGUUCUGCAGGUUACAAAUUUGUAAAUACUAAAAACUGUUGUGUGACAAGUACGAACUUGACUCAAAUUUCGCAGUCCUCUUAUCAUAUCGUGAAUAAUUUCGUUCAGGGUUUCAAAUUCAACGAUUGAAAUUAAAACACAAACUGUACAGACAAGUUCUCUAUAAUAAUUUGUAAAAUAAAUGUAGACAAUGUACACACUAUUUUUGUCCAAAAUAUGUUUUCCAAUACUUCACUUUUAGAAAACAAACAAAAACCUCAAAUCUGGGCGUGAAAAUUCAUAUAGAUGUAAAUAAAAGAAGUCACCACAAGCAUAAUGAACGUUAGUAUGAGUGCAAAUAUCAGAUUGUCACCAACAAAUUUACUGUCUUUACAAUUCAAGUAACCGAAAUACAACCACUUGCUACUGAACUUCAAGAACAAAAUAGCAAGAGACUAUACUAACUCCGACAUCUAUUGACUACAGCCUACACGAUUCACCCAAAUACCAAGAUACUUGACCACACCUCCUUAGUGUUAAAUCUGUUGCAUAUGACCCACGACAUCAAAAACUGAAACACUAACCUUGUAGAUAAACAAAACCCAAGCACACCAGCUUAAAUGUUAUAGAAAUAUGGAUUUGAUAACUUCAUCAUCAUACGGGCAGCGAUGUUACAGUAAAACCUUCUCUGAAUUCAAAACUCUGCAAAGAUGUAGCACAAUCAAGUGGUUCUUCUUGAACAAAAUUUAAGGCCCUCGAUGCAAUAAAAACUAGUCUUACCUUUCCUACUUGCAAGGCCAACUAAGAAUAUCACUAACAAUCUGACCAAACUAGAAUUAAUAUAUGAUGCCUCCAGUAUGUCAUAAAGGGUGACUACUUAUUUUCUAGAUUAGCAAAAACUUUUAACUUUCUACCGACAAGUCAUGAAGGACCAUCCAGAUCACAAGAGUGGACAUCUAAUCAAGUAUCUGUGGUACUACAUUGAGCACUUGGAGAAAUCAGAAAUGCUAUCACCAGUAGAUCCUUGAUAUGCACCAUUUUCUCAUUUAGGUGAAAUGAAAAACCACAAGAAUGAGAAAGAACAGUUGCAGAUUGAUAAAGGAAAGCCCGAUGAUGAAGUUGUCAAAAACAAAGGUUUCAAGUAGGAAAUAUUGAGGUUGUAGUUUAAUCGUUUCAGAUAAGUUUUUUUAAAAGAAGUUGAUUUCAAAUAUUGGUUAUGGGUCGUCACUUCUGACAGAAUAACACACUAAGGAGGUUGUGGUCCAUGUAUCCCAGCACUACUGGCUAACCUAAGAGACGACAAAAGCCAUUUUCCCCAUUUUGAAGGAUGGACCUGCUACUAGGGAACUUGCUAAUGUUAAGACUUCUAACCUACCAAACUAAACAAGGAACUCCAAAAACGACUAAAACAAAAACUUUGGGAAUUUAAAGUCACUCUUAACAGAACUCCUAACCAUUCCGCAGCAACAAUAAACUAUACAUCUUAAGUAACUCUUGCUGUUGAACGAAGUUUGAGAAUGGUUCAUGUUCCUCCUCCAGCCUUCUCCACCGCAACAGUCUCCUGUGUUAAAGUACAUGCAAUAGUUAAUAGAAAGUUGUACUAGUAAAAGUACGCUCAACACACGGAUAGUGCACGUAUGAUCACAUCAAAAUUCAAAGCAAACACAUACUGACUGCUACGUUUUUCAAAUUCAUUCCAAAUCACAAAUUUCACUUAGAAAUGAAACCUGCUCAGUUUUUUCUUUGCCGUUCUCUUGUGAUUGGGAACCAGACUUGGACUGUGAAAACCUGUCGAAUAACACCAUCAGCCAAAGUCAUAUACCAAUUCGACGCCGAAAUAUUUUAGACCCUCAGCUGACAUAAAGAAAAAGGUGAAAAGGUCUCAUUGUAACCUGAGGGCCCUAGCUUUCCUUUUAUCUUCCUCCACAGGAUCAGCCUUCGCAGGAGGUGCGAACCUUGCCAGCCUAGCUUUCUUCUUAGCAUCCUCAUCAGUACUAUCAGAUUGGCUAAGCCCAAACCUGACAGAACCAAAUCUAUCAACAAACACAUAAACAAGUAAACUACCCAGCUGGCAGUAGCCCAAAUAGAUAGUACACAUACCUCUCAGCCCUAGCUUUCCUCUUCUGCUCUUCAGCUUUCUUUGAAGCAUCUGAACCCUGAGGUGCAGACGUGCCAAACCUGACACAAAACAGUCCAACAAAGGGGGUAAGAACAACUUAAGAUAGAUCCUCAUAUGAGUUAAAUGUUUGCGGCCGGCUAUUGGGUAUCCCAUUUCACAACAAACACAAGAUAUGUUUGCUGGACUAUAAAGGCUUGAAGAUCAACUGUAUGGAAGCUGGAAAGAAAGAUGAAAAGUCUAAGGAUUCCCAUGCUGGAAUUUUUUUGAAUUCCAACAAUAUUCUAUAUAAAGGAACCAUAAAUCCAAAAGAUAUUAUUAAGCCUCUCAGCCUCUCAACUUUCAAGCCUCUACUAACAAAUGAAGGGAAUGCACGUUUAGAUGCUUUAGUCCAUUCUGCUCGGGUGACACGCAUCCAUUUCAGCUUAAUAUACCUCACUAGACAAGAAAAACAAAGGGCAAUUGGAACUACCUUCCCAGUACAAGUUCUGGUGCUGUUUGGAGUGUGACGGUGUGACCCCUUUAUGGAACGAUUAAGUAGUUAAUCUCUUGUAUUUCAUUUAAAAUCAGGACUGCUACUUCUUUAUUAUGACACACACAAAAUCCACCAGCACUUUAAAAGAUGAUAGCUUUAAAUAAUUGUUUCUAUGGUUGUAAAUGUAAAGCAAAGGAUAUGUGCAACACCACCGUCUAGGAACCUAAACAUAGUGUUCAGCUACUUUGCCUAACAAAUUGUCGAAGUGAACACAAGUACACAACCAGAACAAAGCACUAAACCUUACCAACCCAGUCAACUACCCCUCAGAUGUCUAGGAACCUAAACAAAGAGUUCAGCUAAUGUGCCCUCUCAGACUCGAAUUCAACCUUGAGCAACCAAUCAACUAUGCCUCAAUCCCAAACAAGCAUGAAUCAGCUACACAAACUCAACACACUAUGUUCAUGCCAGUGGUCUGCCCGAACCAGCUUGCACGCACCUUAGACUAAUUACACAGUAUACCUGCAACCUCCUACUCAAACUAAAACGAAUCAUCUAUAUUUGCUCCAGAUUCCGACAAAGGUAAAGAGUUUCUCUUUUCUGAAGUAAUACUAUUCGUUUUAAACACACAUACCAAAUCCAGCAACAAAAUUUAACUACAAAAAGUACCUCUCAGCUCGAGUGUUUCGCUUCUCCUCUUCCGAAAGCUGAACCGUCAUUCCAAACCUCUCUGCUCGCUUCAUCUUUUUCUGUAUAUCAGUAUCCUUACCACCGCCGCCGCCGCCGCCUCCAUCCGCCGCCUUAUCCAACUUCGCUUGGUCCUUAACUCCAUCAGACGUUGGCGAUUUCAAUGAGUCAGUUGCGGAAUCAUGAGCCGGAGCUUCAGAAACGGCGGUCGGAUUUGGAUCCGGUGACUGAACUAGGGUUUUGAUAGGGUUUUCAGGAAGCUGCGCCGCCGUCGUAGUCAUGAUAAAGAAUUCCGUAGAAGAAACAAUUGAUUUCCAAAUUACUACAAAACCUCUCUACUUCGUGGAUGAGUAAUAUACGUUCAAAUUUUGUGAUUUAGAGUCGAUAUAAUCUCAUAAAAAAUAUUAUAUUAUUAAAUUAAAUGAUUUUUAUUUAAAAUAUUUGUAUUAAUGAUUGAUAUAAAUAGUUAUUUACUCAAAAAAUUAUCGGUAAAUAUAUAAUAUAUGUAUAUUAUAAAUAUUUUUAGUCGAACGACCAAUCCCCUAAAUGCUUUGAAUAACGGCAGAUAAUAACUUAUUUAUAAAUUCGAUCUAUUAUUGAACAUAUAAGAUUACAUUUAUUAUAUACUUAUCGACUUUAACUCGAAUCUUGUGCAGGUAGCAUGAUAUUCUCGACAUGUUUAGAUGAGAGAAGAAAGUGUUGUAAUAUUACGAAAGUGACGAUGAAAAGUUGAAAUUUUUUAUUUAAUUGUUGAUCAAAUUUUUCAUCGAAAAAUAAUUAAGUUAUAAAAUAGCUUUGUAAAAUUGACGUCUUUAUCUGAUCGUAUUUGUAAUAUUGCUACCGACUUCCCGGAGGAAAAUCCGGUGUAAAGCUCCACCGUCCGACGGUGGUUUACCAUGACUUGCUUAAAUAUGUGCUUAGCCCUUUUUACUACACAACUCCCAUUGUGUGAUGAACCUAAUACUUAUGAUAAGAUAAUUUGAUGACUAAUUAUGAUGAUAAAAAUUAAAAUAGGUUUAAGUCAUCGAUAGCCACUUAAAGUUGUCCGCAAAUUUCAUUUAGACACCUCUUCUUAGGCUUGUUCCAAUUGAACACCUAGACAACAAAAUUUUUUACCUAUUAUACCCUUUUUGCUGACAUGGCAAAGCGUUUGUAGUACACACAAAGAAAGGAGCGUGAAAGCAUAACUUUUCAGUAAAAAAAAAGAUUUUAUAUCUUCUUCUUCUUUGAGAAAGCUCAUCACCAUUUUUCCAUGGCAAGCUGCAACCAUCACCACUCAUAAUUCUGCAACCAUCACCACUCAUAAUUCUUUCUCCUUCUUUUUCGAUUUUCAGCCAUUCUCUUUUUCCAAUACACCAGUUUAUUAAAUCGGUUGCUAUCAUCCACAAGUCUACCAUUGUCAAACAACCUUAGCCUUUCAAACAACCAACUACACAUUCAAAUUAUCCAUCGUAAGUUUUUCAGCCGUAAAAAAUGUUAUCUCUGCUGCCAUCAAAAGUAUCUAACCUUGUUCAUCUAUCUUGUCAAAUUAAACCCAAACAUAAAUUAAAUAAAAAUCUUAAAACAAAAGAAAAACAAAAAAAGGAAGAAGAUGAAACAGAGAUUCCUUUCCUUUGAAAUGGAAUGUUAAGCAAAUUUCAUUAAAUAAAGAUUAAAAAAAAUUAAAAUAACGAGCAAUUAGUGAUCAAUCAUCUUUUUACUUUACUUUAGUGUUCAUUAUUUCCGGCAAACUCCAUUUUUUGGGGCAAGAAUAAUAUGAAUUUGAAAUUAUUCUUUGAAAUUGUUAAUUUAUUUAAAUUUUAAAGAACUGACAACACAAGAAGAAAAAAGAACAUCAAUAAAUCUAAAUGAAGUUUGAGGAUAAGAGUAAGAUUUAAAAAUGGUAGUCUAUGGUGUAUUUGGGGAAGGUUAUGGAGAAAGAGGAGAAGAGUAAUGGUGAUUUUCUUUUUCUUUUAUUUCUAAAAAAAUAUAUAAUUUUUCCUUAUUAUUUUUUUAGUUAUUCUAAGUCCAAUACCACGUGUCUUUUUUUAAUUAGUUACUAUGCCACAUCACCAGCAAGUGUAUAACACACACUCUCUUAUUUCAGCUGAUUGUCUAUAAAGUGUUUGAUAGGUAAUUUUUUUUAUUAGUACGGGGGUUCAAUUGGAACAAGCCUAAGAAGAGGUGUUUAAGUGAAUUUUGCGGACAACUUUAAGUGGCUAUCGAUGACUUAAGCCAUUAAAAUAACUAUUAAUUAAGUUAUUGAUUAUUUUUUUAAAUGGUCAUUUUUUUAUUUUUUUAAAUCAUUUUAAUGUUUGUUUUCAAUUUUCCAUUUCGCAAAUUGAAAAUGACAAUUUAUUAGUUGAUGUAAUAUAUCAAAAAUAUAAUAAAUUACAGUCGAAAUAAAAUGACAGUAAAAAAAAAUGUUUAAGUUGAGGUGCGAAUAUCUCACUCACUUUAAGGAGAUUCAAGCUCAUUAUGAUAUAAUAUACUCCGAUCCAGUUUCUUCAACAUAUAAUUACUCUCUUCUGUAUAUGAAAAUAUUUGAAGAUUUAGAAUAUUUUUUGUCUCGAUAUACAUAAUAUAACACUUCUCAUUUUUUCUUGCACUCUUUCACCACUACAAUAAAAACAAAUUUUAGCGGCAUUAAAUAUUAACAUUAAUAAGGAGUGUUAAAGUCUUUACCGACAUCAGUUAAGUAUCAUUAGAACCAAUAUCGCUAAAAGCUUUAGGAACAUAUACAAAGAUUGACAAUUACCGCUAAAAAUACAUAUUCAGCGGCGAUAAAAAAUUAAUUGUCGCUAAUGAUAAUUUUUCUUUUAAUGCACGUAUCCCUUGUUGUACAUAAACACAAAGAAAGUCCAUCACUAUUUAUGUGUAAGAAAUUUUUUCUUGCAAUGAACUGAAAGAUAAUAAAUAGUUAAUCGAGUAGGUAAAUAAUUUACCGUAAAUGACCUAGAUGUUACAUGAAUUAGUGGUUAUAGGAGCUUUAAAAUGAUAUUCAUAGCCUUUUGGAAGGAUAAUUUAUAAUUUAAAUUUAAUUUUGGCACCAUAAAUUUGUUAAAGUAUUGGAAAAUAUUAAAUUAAAAUGUUCUAGCUCAUGAGCAAUAUUUAUUGGUUAUAAACCCCACAAUCCUUCACUUUAUAAUACAUAAAAAGCAAUUGAAAAUGAUACACUAGAUGUUGAAAUGAGAACUACAACUAUCACAUCAAAUGAUAGGCAAAUUACUUUAAUAUUGUUUAAAAAAAUUCUCUUUUUGUUGUACCUAGUUAAUUUUUCAUCUUAGUUUAAUUUCAAUAAUUAAAUUAUUAUGUUCAUUUCUCAUGUUAUUUGAAUUUAGCAUUGUAUACACUAAAAUCAUAUGAUAUGUAUUUUUGAGUUUGAACAAUCAAUUCGACUUUAAUUGAAAAUAUUAAUUUUCUCCUCAAGAUGAAAUCCUUAGUUAAAAACAUUAAUUUUCUCCUCAAAGAUGAAUUUCUUAAAGCAAAUUUUAAUUUGUUGGAUUAUGAAUAUCGGAUAAAUAAUAAAAUAAAAACUUUAGAAGUUUUUAUUCAAAUAGGAGGAAAUUAUUAUAUUGUGAAAAAAAGAAGAAGCCAAGUGGACAUAAAAAUUAAGGGUUAUAUUUUUAUUAAAUCUAAAAGUUUUGGUGAAUUUUAAAAUAUAUUUCUAAUUUAACUUUAGAAUAUAAAAAUACAUUCUACUACUUUAUGCAUUUCCCUCCCCUUUUCCCCCUCCUAAAGGAAUAAUCAAAUAGAAUAUAUUUUUAAAAUAUAUUACAAUUUUCUCUUUCUCAUGUGAAAUGAUAAUAUAAGUCUUUCAAUAAAAACUUAUAAUGAACUAGAACAUAAUUAUAUUGACUAAUGUUUAUCGCGAUUAUAUUAGUUUAAUAAUUUACAGUUACUUAUGAAUUAAAUAUUGUGACUAGAAUGGAUUAGUUUUCAUAAAUAUCAAGUAUUUAUAUAUAUAUAUAUAUAUAUAUAUAUCAUCAAAUAAUAUAAGUCUUGAAUUAAAAAUUACGGUGAACUAGAACAUAAUUAUAUUAAUCAAUAUUUGUCACGAUUAUAUUAUUUUAAUAAUUUACUCGUGAGUUAUUCAAUGAAUUGAUUGAAAGGAAUAUUAUAACUAGAAUAUGUCAUUUGGUCACUAACCGUCUAAAUAGUCAUAGUUUUCUUCUUCGGAGGGUUGGUUUGCCUUCUCAUCCAACUUGAGAUCGGUCAGAUGGGCCUUUACUUUGUUUACUCGAAGUUCUUUUUGUCUAAUCUGAUUUGCUUCUUUGCGUUCACUCGAUUAAUUCUCAUAAAUAUCAAAUAUUUAGUAAAUAAAAUUAAAAAAAGAAUGAAAAGGGUAAGGGAUGGAAUAGAUUGGAUGGUACAAAUUUUGUGUUUGUUGUUGGAAAAUUCACAUGAAAGGGAAGAUGAAAUUUUCGAAGUCGAAAAAAUUAUUCUCUUACUAAAAAUGAUAGUAAUUGUUUAUUUAUCGAUCUGAAUAAGAUAUAUUAUAUUUAAAUUAAAUAAUUAAAGGGAAUAAAAUAUAAAUAUUAUCUGAAAUUAAAUUACUUAUAUAUAUAAUUGAGAAUCCCUUGUAUAUAUUUGUACCUUACUUAUAUGUGGAAAAGCACUAAAUAAUUUGAUUAUUAGUAGAAAAAAUAAAUAAAGGUUAUUUUCACUGUUUUCAAUUUUGUCAAUUUUUAUCACAAUUUAACAAUAAAGUUAACAAUGAUUCAUAGGCUGAAAUUUGAAAUAAUUGAUAUACCAAACAUAACAUUUUUUUUUUCAUAUAUGGUAUUAUAAUGUCCAAUCCAUCAUCAUUUGAUUGUUUGACUUAAAGUUUUUGUAAUUUAUAAUCUUUGUAUAUAAUAAUUACCUUACAUAUUUUUUCAUUCCCUAAAGGCAAACAUAAAAGUUGUAAUUUAUAUUUUAAAAUUAAAAGUUUACUUUUUAUAACAUAAAGUUAAUCAAAUUAAACUCAUAAAAUUUGGGAAAUUAUUAUUAGAUAAUCUUGAUAAAACUAGGAAUAAUAUCAACAAUCUUAAAAAAAGAAAUAUCAAUGUUUUAUUAUGUAUUUUAGAUGAUAUUAUUGUGUGUUUUUUAAAAAAAAAAAUAAGACACAUUCAACCAAUUAUUAAUAAAAUUUUAACAUGCAUAUUUCGUAUGAAAUUUUAAGAAUAUAUUAAAGUAACACAAAUAUUUACAUAAGUUCGAACCAUAAAAUAAUUAAAUUUCUCCAAAUUAAUCGUUGCACAUUGAAUUAAUACAACACAGAGUUUGAAGUUAUUCGUGAAGGAUCAUAUAACUAAUAUUAUAAUUAAUAUGGUGCUAGAAGAGAGUAUGUUAAGACGCGUUCAAGCUAAUCUAUUAUUAUUUUUACUAUAAAUUAUUUUAUUCAAUUCAACUUUAAAUAUAAUUAUGCGGGUAUUUUUUUAAAAUAAUUUUUUUAACUCGAUCUUUGUUUUUUUUCUCUAAAAUAUUUUUUUAUAACCCCCAACUUCUUAAAAUUGUCCUAUUAGCAUCACUAUUUUUAUAAUACUUUAUUUUUAGCCAAAUCAAAAUUUACAGAUCAUUUAUUCUACGUAAUUGCGUACAAGUAACGCAUGUAUACUACUAAUAAUAAUAAAAUAACAAAAUGAAAUAAAUAUGAAAAUAGGACUAAAACAAAAGGGGAAAAAAAUUCAAGUUAAUAUUUUCCACCCUUGAUUUAGUGUUAUAACAGCUAAAAAUUAAUUUUAACAGUUAAUAUGAAAUAAUUUUGGGUUGCAUUAGCUACCGUUACAAGUUUACAUAAUAUUCUAAUUCAAGAUUAAUUUUGAAUGAAAUUAAUUGGAUCAAAUCCUAAAAAUAAUAUUUAUAUUAUAUUUGACCUGCAUUAACUACCAUUACAAAUUUACACAAUAUUCUACUUCAAAAUUAAUUCUGAAUAAAAAUUUAAUUGGAUUCAGUCAUAAAACCCAUAUUUAUGUUAUAUUUGAUCUUUUAUAACAUAAAUAACAAUAAUUAUAAUCAUAUACUUUUUUAUAAAAUUACUGUUAAAUAAAAAUCUCACUCAAUAUAUGUAUUUAAUGAAAAUCUACUAAUUAUAUUAAUAAUUUUUCAUUUAUUUUCCAUUUUAACAAUUAUUAAGUAAUAUAUAUAUACACACACGCAGCUUUUUAAAUAGGAACAAUCAAAAUGAUAUAACCUAAAACAAAAGGAUUAUUUGCAUAAAUCAACCAUUUUCUGAUCAAUUUUUGCCUCUUAGUAGUGAAAUAAAUUCUAAAUAUCAUUCUAAUUGGUCAUUUGGUAGAUUGUACUAGCAUAUAAAAAAAUAUAUAAAUAUCAUUAUAAUUGGUCAUUUGGUAGAUUGUAUUAGCAUAUAAAAUAAUAUAUGUAUUAAAUUUUUAUUUGAUACACUUUUUCGACUUAUACAUGCUAAUGCAAAUGCUAACCAUAUACGGUAUUUGAUAUUAUUCUAUAUAACAUAAAUUACUAUAUUAGCAAUAUCAAAAUAACUAAUACAUACAUUAUAACCUCUAUACGCGCACAAAGUAAAAAAGAAGAAGAAGAUCAUUCAGGUAUUGUUGAGGUAGCAGUUUUAACAAAAUAAUCCAAUACCGUAUAAUAGAAGAUAAUCAAUUCAUGCUCAAGAUAACAUGAAAAUCCAAUAUAUAUAGCACAACAAAGCCAAUUUAAACAUUCCGUUCCUAAAUUAUUAUAAUUUACAAACACAAUUCACUACUAAACACUCGUCCAUAAAAAUUAAAACAUGCAACUUCACUACCAAGGGCUCAUGACUCAUACUUAAUCGAAAAGAAUAAUACAAAGACAUUUAAAAUUAAACUCUAAAGAUCUAAUAUGCUUAAAAUAUUAGUAGAAAAAAGACUUUAUUAGAUUAGAAUAGAAAGUAUAGAAAAAAGAAAAUAAAAAGGAGUCUUUUCUAAGUAUAAAAAAUUAGUUGAAAUAAGAACUUUUUUUUUGUUGACAAAUAAAAAGGUGGAGAUCACAGCUAAGCACACAAUUUUCUCACACACACACACAAGUGAGUCUAAUUUGUCUGUUUUCUUCAACCCUUUUAUUUAUUCUGCAUGGAUGUAUUUAUUCUCUUUUUCUAUACCCCCCCCCCCCCCCCCCCUUCUCUCUCUAUCUCUCUUUGUUCUGACACUGCUUAUUCACUUCACUAAUCUCUAAAGAUUUCAUCUUUUUUUUUUGGCUUUUCACUCUUUUUUUAACAGUUUCCAUACCAUUCCUUUCUUAUUCUGUCAACUGGAUCAACCAUCAUCAUCAUCAGCAUCUCUGAAUUCUAUAAGAUUUCACUAAUUUUGAGUUUUUGACUUGUUUGCUUCUUCAGGUACUUUCUUAACCUCAAGACCUACACCCCUUUUGUCCUUUUUUUCUCAAUUUUUGUUUGAUUUUCCUUUUUGGGUGUUGGUUAUAACAUUCAAUUUGUUAUAAAGUUUUGAGCUUUUUUACUUGGGUUUUUGUGGGACUGACUUAACUUCAUGACUCGGAACUCUUUUUGGCCUUUUUGGUGAUUGAAUUUGACCCUUUUCUUUAUUUUUGUUUAGUUUUCCUUUUUGGGUGUUCUUUAUUGCAUUUCAUUUCUUAUCAAUUUUUGAGAUUUUUGUAGUUGUUGUCAAUUGCCAUGGCCUCAUGGGUUUAGUGGUUUUUUUGGGGUGGGGGGUGUAUUUGAUUUGGGGUUGGAUUGAGUUGUAUUCAAUUGUUGUAAAGUACUGAUCUUUACUUAGGGGGUGUAUUUGAUUUGGGGUUGGAUUGAAUUGUAUUCAAUUGUUGUAAAGUACUGCUUUACUUAGGGGGUGUAUUUGAUUUGGGGUUGGAUUGAAUUGUAUUCAAUUGUUGUAAAGUACUGAUCUUUACUUAGGGGGUGUAUUUGAUUUGGGGUUGGUUUGAAUUGUAUUCAAUUGUUGUAAAGUACUGAUCUUUACUUAGGGGGGUGUAUUUGAUUUGGGGUUGGAUUGAAUUGUUGUGAAGUACUGAUCUUUACUUGUUAAGUUUUCUUAAUUUGGAGAUUACUGAUCUAAUUUUGGUUGUUAAACUUGAGCUUUUUUAGUUGUUUCUAUGGUUUUGUGUUUUUUGGGGGUGCUGGGGUGUAUUUGAUUUGGGGUUGGAUUGAGUUGUAUUCAAUUGUUGUGAAAGUACUGAUCUUUACUUGUUAAGUUUUCUUAAUUUGGAGAUUAUUACUAUUCACUUUUUCAAUUUGCUUAUCGACUUAUGUUUCGUUGUUGUGAUUUAUUGUUAGAUUUUUGGUGGUGGUGCUUGGUUGGGGUUGAAUUGGAUUCUGUUAUACAGUUGUGAAGUUUUAUAAACCUGUGAAUUUUAAAGAUUGGAUUUUUAGUAAUCUGUUCUUGAUUUUGGAGAUUAAUGAUCCGUUUUUGGUAAUGCUUUUAACUGGUUUGAUUUUAGAAGGCAAGUUUUUGAUUAGGUUAUGUUUGGGUAUUUUGUAUCAAUUCAGUUAGAUUUGGUUGUUGUGAUGAUGAAUCUGCGGUUAUAGGGCACUUUUUUUAUUUAUUAAUUCGACCCUUUGUCUGUGAUUUUUGAUGUUUAAUCAUCUGAGUCAGAUCGAUGAAUUCAAAUUCUUAAUCAUCUGAAUUUGGCAUGUUUGUAAAGCCAUAUUUAGCAGGAUUAAGCUGCUGCAAGCGGUAGUUUGAGUUUCUUUUUGUUGGCUAAUGUUAACUGUUUGGAUGAAGUGGUUGUAUAUUUUCUGUUGAAUAGAAUGUGUUGAUAAGCUUUGUUUAACUAGUCACUUAGUCAACAGUUUAUGCAUUUACCUUGUUGCGCUUUUUCUUGAGAGUUGGGUUUCUUAUAACUGAUAUGGUUUCGGAACGUCCUUAUGACUUCUUUCCGACCCUUGCCAUUAUUUUUUGCGUUGUGUAAUUUGAUCAUGCAUUGUCUCUUUCCAAACUAAUAAUUUUCCUUGUUUUUGAACCAGGCUUGAAGUAACUUUUGUGGAAAGUGAAACAAGUUUCAACCCUGGAAUGAUUUGAUGGGGGCGUCAAACUCUAAGCUAGAGGAAGAUAAAGCCUUGCAGCUUUGUCGUGAACGGAAGAAGUUUGUAAGGCAAGCUCUUGAUGGACGGUGUAAUCUAGCCGCGACUCAUAUAGCUUAUAUUGAGUCUCUGAAAAUUACAGGAACUGUUUUAAGGAGAUUUGCUGAACCUGAGGCUCCAAUUGGAUCUUCAAUCUACACUUCAACGAGUGCAACCCCUGAGCUACGUGGAUUAACUGAAAAGUCUCUUUCCCAUUUUUCAUUCUCUUCUCGAUCCAUCUCACGUCAUGUAGAUGCAACUGAGAAUAUCCUACCGUCUCCUUCAUCUCCAACCUCAAGUCGAUACCAUGCUAAUCACAUGAAAUUUAGAGGUACAUUUUCUAGGAAAGUUGAAGAAAAACCUUCUGUUCCAGUUACUGUUUCAGUUACUUCAGCUACACCUCAGAACUCCACGCCUCGUUCCGCAGAGAGGCCUGAAGCAUCACCUUUUGAAAUCCCUCAUGAAACUUCACCAUUUGAAAUCCCUCCUUCCCCUUCUGAAACUUCACCUUGGGACUACUUUGGUCUUGGCCAUGAUAUUGAUAAUCAUUUGACUUCACAAAAUGGAAGGAUUGAGAAUGGAAAUGACAAUAGACAUCAUGGAGAUGAGGAUAUAAUUUCUACAUCAGAAGAUGAAGAAGAACAUUAUUCUUCACCUGGAAGGGAUGGGUCACAGGUCUCUGAUGAUGAAUUUGAUGAGCCUUCCGCAGAAACACUGGUCCGAAGUUUUCAAAAUGUCAAUAGAACAACUGAUCAUGCUAGCAAUAGUGGCUCACCUGAAAUAACCUCUGUGAGGAGUGAAGUGUCAGAAGCCAAGUCUCUGAAUGUGGAGAAAAGCAAGUCACCUGAUCUGUCCCCACUAAGAGCUGCACCUUCAGGACCUGCUGAUGAUAACGACAUGAAGACACCAGUAAAAGAAAAUGAUGUUGAGAAUAAGGUUGCACCCAAGGACUUCUAUUUUAGCAUAAAAGAUAUUGAAUAUCUCUUCAUAAAAGCAUCUGAAUCAGGAAGAGAAGUUCCGCGCAUGUUGGAGGCGAACAAAUUCCAUUUCCGUCCAAUUUUUCCAGGGAAAGAAAGUAGGUCAUCUCUCUUUCUCUCUCAUAUCAGAUAGAAAAUGCACACAAAUUCAUCUUAAUUGUUUCAUUGUUUAAACAUAUUCCUCAAAUUGUUUUAGCUUCUAGGUUUUUUCUUUUUACGUCACGUGGAUUCCUGCAUGACAUUGGCACAUCAGCUAGAAGUUCUUUCUUACUUGAUAUGCUGCAUAUUUUCUUAUUUUAUGUGGUUCUUUUAACUGGUUGAUACAUACGGUAAGAAAUGGCAGUCAAGCUGAGGUUGAGGUCAGAAUAUUAACAGUCAUAUCUAUAUAAUCAAGUUAAUGUAUACUUGAGUAGGCAAGAGAGUGAAGUAAGUACUGGGACGUGAACUGUUGCUCUCUUAACUCUUUUACAUAUUAGUCUUUUCUGCAUAGCUCUUUAAUUGAUCAUUGACAGAUGUAUCUGUGGCAGGUGGGUCAAUGACCAGAGUAUUAAUGAAGUCUUGUUUCUCUUGCGGGGAUGAUCCAAGCCAGAUUCCUGAAGGUAGGCCUCUUUAUAUAGAGAUAUCUAUGGUGAAAUUUUCAGAUUCUACAUGUUUAAUAGUUGGUAGUGCUUCCGAAUGCUGUGUGGUUCAGUGUAGAUAUUUUGUUAGACAUUCCUGAGUUCUUUUCUCCCCACGUCACUUUUGGGUCCUGGUGUUUAUAAUUUAUGGUACGGAGAAUGGGAGGCAAGCACGAUAUGGGAAGGUUCCUUUACCUUGAGGAGUGCAUAUUAUUAUUUAGAUUCAACUUCGUUUUGAGAUGAUCUACAAAUAAAUACUGAAUUAAUUUUUCUAGAUCUUUUUUUUUUUUUACAUUCUACUCUACAUUGUUUACUAUAGUCUCCUAAACCAAUUUUAAGCAACCUUCUCUUCUAAUCUUGCUUAACAUUGUAUGACCACACAUCAAUCAUUCUCAGCAUUUGCUUUUCUAUAACACUCGUCUUAUGAAUGUGCAGGAUGUUAGAGGCCUAACAUUCACGACCAUAUGACAUUACUGACCUCAAAACUGUUCUAUAUGACAUGCCUUUUAAUUAUCUUAUUUUAUUUCUCCAUGUUACACUUUUAUCUUUGCUGGUAUAUAGAGCCUAGAUUUCCCUCACAUCCAGUCAGACAUCUGUUGAAACAUUUGCCAUUUUUUCAUCAUCUUCGACCUUCUUAUGUUACUCUCCAUGCGGUCAAAUGUGGUCAUACACAUCGAGACUAAGGGUUCGACUUCCGUAAUACAUGGUUCAGGCUUGGAGAAGAGAACAUUCUAGAUUCUUUGGUCAUAGAGAGAAUCAACUUAAGUCAACCGCCAGAAGAAUCUUUGAAAGCGACAUAAUUUGGCUAUUCUGUGAAACAAUAAAGAAAACAUUAUACUUGGAAAGAGAAACUAAAAAAGGGAAGCUGCUUCAAACACUAAAUUUAGUUAUUUGGUAGUAUGCCAUGUUCCAGUACAAUUUAAGAUACAAAUUCAAUAUUAAAUGUGCACUUAGUAUCUAUUAAUAAAUUUGAGACCAUGCAUAUAUCCAAAUUCACCAGACACUAAUCAUCGUUCUUGCUUGCUGACCAUUGUAUGUCAAAUGGAGCUUUUUAAACUUCUAAUCUGAUUUUGGUUCACUCGCUUUGGAUACUAUUAUGCAAGGUUGUGCGUAUUUACCAUACAUCAUGUUUUCUUAUUGUUUUUGUCGUCUGUCUUUUCAUUAUUUUCUUCUACAUGAAGCUUAUCCAGCCAUCUUAAUUUUUCUGUUCAGAGCCUCCUCAAAAUUCUGUGAAGUACCUGACAUGGCAUCGUACCACAUCAUCUCAUGCUUCAUCCCCAAAUCGGCAUGGUGUAAACUCCACAGAUGGUAUUGAGGAUGUUUCCAACAAUCUCUUCGAUAACUUUUGUAUGGUCUCAGGAAGUCAUGCCUCUACGUUGGAUCGGCUGUUUGCAUGGGAGAAAAAGCUAUAUGACGAAGUCAAGGUAAGAUGUUUCUUAUGUACGUAUAAUAAUGUAUUGAUAUGUUUAUUUGUCUAGCUAUAUGAAUGGCAUACAUAUUUGUGAACUAGUUAGUUAUACGUACACAACCCAUAAGGCUUGCUAUUCUAUGACAUUCCUAUGGAUGAAGAAUGUACCUCUUCAAUGUUAGUUUCUAUAUUUUGUUUGCAAAAGGUAUUUAGGUUUUAGGCCUAGGCUUCGUAGAGUAAGAAGAUACUAGAACUUCCUUUCGAAACUCUUGACUGAUCUCUUGAUGUAACCGGUCAAAAGAAACAAGUUCUUUCCACAUUUACGUUCCUUUCGUCUGUCAAGAUAUUGACAUAGACUUGCAGUGACGGUCAUAUAUUGACAUAGACUUUGCAGUGACGGUCAUAUAUCUUUUUUCAAAACCCAAGGCAUUUGUCUUCUGUUGAAGUUUCAUACUGGCUUUCAUUAUAGUCCUCUUGGAAGUACCAAUUUUCUUUCUGGUAUUAUUAUCGGAGAUAUAUAUAUAGUGUUGUGAAUUUGAUAUUUAUCAAUUAAGACAUACUGAGAUCCCAGACUUGAAAUUCAAUGCAUCUCAAAAUGGAACCUUUCAGUUGUAUAGAUUAACGUUUUCCAAGGUAAUUGUAGUUGAUUUAUUACAGUGCAUCUACUGGUGCUUUUCUCAUAUCAAUGGUGUUUAAGAUACUUAUUAUUAAAUUAGUACAUCCUCUCAUAUUAUGUACAACUAAAUGUAAACACCUUUUGGAAUUCAGGCUAGUGAGAUGAUCCGAAGUGAUUAUGAUGCUAAGCGUAAGCUUCUCCGACAACUAGAAUCUAAGGUAGAGACUCCUCAGAGGAUCGACAAGACGCGUGCUGUUGUGAAGGAUCUUCAUUCGAGAAUUGGAGUUGCAAUUCAUAGAAUUAAUUCCAUCUCUAGGAAAAUUGAAGAAAUAAGAGACAAGGAACUUCAGCCUCAAUUGGAGGAGUUGAUUGAGGGGUAUGUUAUUAAUGUUGCUCAUAUUUUAGCAUCGGAAUAUCGUUAGCAUUAAAUGUAUACAUGUUUGAAAGAUGAUGUUUUAGAAGGUUAAUGGCUGGAAGUUUCUUAUUAAUUUGUCUGUAUGGUUAUCCUCUUCCUAUCUCAGAUUGAGGAAGAUGUGGGAAGUUAUGUUCGACUGCCACAAGCUUCAGCUCCAUAUCAUAUCGAUAGCUCAUUCGCCUGGAAAUAUGAAGAUCCUUAUUCAAUCAGAUUCUCGUCGGCAGAUUGCAAUCCAUCUUGAACAUGAAUUGAGUUCUCUAUCAUCAAGUUUUACAAAGUGGAUCGUCUCUCAGAAGGCAUACGUGGAAGCUAUAAAUAAGUGGCUUCACAAAUCUGUCUUCCUCCGCGAAAAAUCAUCCAGGAGAAAAAGAAAGCAGCAGCCUGUGCCACUCAGAAACCACGGCCCACCUAUUUAUACCACCUGUUCUGUCUGGUUGGAGAUGUUUGAUUCAUUGCCUACUAAGGAGGUUUCAGACGCUAUAAAGGGGUUGGCUGCCGAAAUCUCUCACCUCCUACCUCGGCAAGAGAAGCACCAAGGGAAGGGUGGAAAUCAUCGUCAUGGAAUCGAUGGUGAACCAGGUCUUAAGACCCCACUGAGAGAUGAUUCUCCUGAAGACUGGAUAGCCGGCUUCGAUCAUUUUCGUACAAGCUUGACCUUUUUCCUGAGCCAGUUAAACAACUUCUCAGAGUCUUCUGUCAAGAUGUUCACUCAACUCCAAAAGGCCAUCCAAGAAGCCAAACAUGGUCAUGCGCUCCGCAUGAAUUCUCAAUCAUAAGAAGGUAUUCCGACCCUAUCUUGCUCGAGAUCUUCAAAAGUAGUGUGUUUUUAGAAGUAUUCAGCACAGGUGCGACAACAUUUUGGAGAGUCCGAGCAACAUAGUUCUGACAAAAAGAUACUGAGGAAACAACAAUGGAUAUAUAAUAGCAAAGGAAGGAUUAUUUUUUCUGUCAUUUGUACAGGAGAGGUGAAAAAAUAGAAGGAUAAAUUUCUUGGAGCUUUACAGAUAUAUUUUUGUUGAAUCUUGAAAAUAAAAAAAGCUCUAUAUAGUGGCUGUAUAUGCAAAUAUUGGGAGGUGAAAAUUGGGCAAUAUUUGAAAAGGAAAGGGGUGUAGAUUUAGUUCAUAAGGAGAGCUGUUUAUAUGAUAGCAAGAAAAAAAAAAUGUACUAUUAAAGCAUGUACAUUUUACUUUGAUGAACUCAAGUUACAAUUUCAUAAAAUAUUUUGCAUUUUAAUGUGGUUUUUCACUUUUCCUUUAUUAUUAUGAUGAUGAUAUCAUUUGAAAUGAUGAAAUGGGGAUUUAUAUAGCCGAUCUAAACUUUUUGUGACUAAGGUGGUGGUGUUAUGAUAAAGAUAUUAUGUAGUCCAUGCUGAGUUAAUCGUAUUCUUGGUCGGAGCAAUGAACUAGCCCCUUUACUAAUACUAAUGAAUGAAUAGGUCGAGCACAGGGAAGUCCUAGAAUGAGAGGCUAAAGUGUUUUGGCCGAACGUAAUCUAGUGGUUUAGGUUUGAGACUUCUGUGUUAAAGGUCUCGCCCGCAAAUCAAGAAACUUGCUUUUUGGGUGGAGCUAGUAGUCAUAUUCAGCUUGUCUAGUGUAGGCUACCUUCUCUACAUGAUGUGCGAUGAUGUGCGAUAUGACAUAGAAAUAAAGAUUUUAUCUUGUGCGCACUCAAAAUGUUUUAGGUAAACAUGAGAUAAAAUGAGUUAAUAUAGGUGAAUAUUGAGAAAAUAAGUUUGUUUCUCCGUGAGUUUUACAUUACAAUUAUUAGUUAUUUCGAAAUUAUCACUAUAUAUGUAAUUGAACACAAUUCGAAGCUAAUUUAGCUAACUAGCGUGUAUUUUAGUAUAUUAUAAAAAUUUCACUUUAUUAUGUAAACUAUUUUUACUACCAAUAGAAGGAAAAGGAAAAAAAAUAAAAUCCUAGAUAUAUCACUAUUUACUACCAAAGGCUAACACUAUAUUUACAAUCUUUAGAAAUUAUUUUUGAUUUGGCCGUUAAAGUAUUCACCGUUACAUCACACUUAACCUUAACGGUGAUUUCCCACGUCUUAACGGCGCCAACUUUAACUUUAACGGGAACUUUAAUGUUAACCUUAAACGGAACUUUUCCUUUCAUCUGUUCAUUCCUUAACGCCGUUUUAACGGCGUUACCAAGCAAGACGUUUGAUCCUUUUAGCGGCGUCUGAAAAACAGUUAUGUUAGUCGAAGGCUGAUAGAACUCCGGCAACUCGCCGUUAGAGAGACGGACAUCGGAGUAGAAUACGGUGACAGAGCUUCCUUUCCGGUAGUAAAUUCCGAUCUUAUUGUUAGGAUUUUCAGCUCGGAUAGUAACGUCGAAUUCCGGCGAUACCGGAGACGACGAAGUUAAGUUGAAAUUCUUAAUCGCGACGUCGGAGAUAGUGUAUUUUGGAGCUUCAGGACGGAAGACGAGGUAGACAACAGCAGCAGUGAUUCCAAGUGCGAUAAUGAGAAUUAGAAGGAGAGAUAAAGUAUAGCAAACGCACCGGCAACAGCAGCUCCGACGAGGCUUUCGUUUUCUCAAAGCUUCGUAACGUCGAGAAUUCCCCGGUGGAGGAUACCGAUAGAUUUGAUCUUUUGGUACUUGAACAACAUACGUUCCCGGCGACGGCAGCACAUGCUUUGUCUGAGUUCCCGUAGCUACUCCGCCGGAGUUUUUUGACGAAAUCGGUGAACUCGCCGGCGAUGAAUCUCGAGGAUGUACGCGAUCAGCCAUAGUGUAACUGAAAAUCAGAAAAGGAGGCGUAUGUAUUGUGAAGGUGUAAUGCGUUGUAUUUAUAUUUAUAGUAGUGCGUGU